rnacentral:rRNA from 1 species
UACGAGGGGGGCGAGCGUUGUUCGGAAUUAUUGGGCGUAAAGGGUGCGUAGGCGGUUUGGUAAGUCUUGUGUGAAAUCUCCAGGCUCAACUUGGAGUCUGCACGAGAAACUGCCGGGCUUGAGUGUGGGAGAGGUGAGUGGAAUUCCUGGUGUAGCGGUGAAAUGCGUAGAUAUCAGGAAGAACACCAACGGCGAAGGCAGCUCGCUGGGACGGAACUGACGCUAAGGCGCGAAAGCGUGGGGAGCAAACAGG